rnacentral:rRNA from 1 species
GACGAAGGGGGCUAGCGCUGCUCGGAAUCACUGGGCGUAAAGCGCACGUAGGCGGAUUGUUAAGUCAGGGGUGAAAUCCUGGAGCUCAACUCCAGAACUGCCUUUGAUACUGGCGAUCUUGAGUCCGGGAGAGGUGAGUGGAACUGCGAGUGUAGAGGUGAAAUUCGUAGAUAUUCGCAAGAACACCAGUGGCGAAGGCGGCUCACUGGCCCGGUACUGACGCUGAGGUGCGAAAGCGUGGGGAGCAAACAGG